rnacentral:tRNA from 1 species
UAGCCUAGUGAUUAAGGCUUUGGAUCGUCAAUCCGGAGACGGCGGGUUCGACUCCCGU